rnacentral:rRNA from 1 species
AUUGAACGCUGGCGGCAGGCCUAACAUAUGCAAGUCGAACGAGUGGCGGACGGGUGAGUAAUGCCUGGGAAACUGCCUGAUGGAGGGGGAUAACUACUGGAAACGGUAGCUAAUACCGCAUACCAUCAGAUGUGCCCAGAUAGGAUUAGCUAGUUGGUGGGGUAACGGCUCACCAAGGCGACGAUCCCUAGCUGGUAUGAGAGGAUGACCAGCCACACGGGAACUGAGACACGGUCCAGAGUCCUACGGGAGGCAGCAGUGGGGAAUAUUGCACGAUGGGCGCAAGCCUUAUGCAGCCAUGCCGAAUGUAUGAAGAAGGCCUUCGGGUUGUAAAGUACUUUCAGCGGGGAGGCGUUACCCGCAGAAGAGGCACCGGCUAACUCCGUGCCAGCAGCCGCGGUAAUUC